GGGGAUGUUGAUCAGUGGUAGAGUGUGUGCUUUGCAUGUAUGAGGUUCUGGGAUCAAACCCUAGCAUCACCA
rnacentral:tRNA from 1 species